UUAAUUGAAGAGUUUGAUCAUGGCUCAGAUUGAACGCUGGCGGCAGGCCUAACACAUGCAAGUCGAGCGGUAACAUUUCAAAAGCUUGCUUUUGAAGAUGACGAGCGGCGGACGGGUGAGUAAUGCCUAGGAAAUUGCCCUGAUGUGGGGGAUAACCAUUGGAAACGAUGGCUAAUACCGCAUGAUGCCUACGGGCCAAAGAGGGGGACCUUCGGGCCUCUCGCGUCAGGAUAUGCCUAGGUGGGAUUAGCUAGUUGGUGAGGUAAUGGCUCACCAAGGCGACGUUCCCUAGCUGGUCUGAGAGGAUGAUCAGCCACACUGGAACUGAGACACGGUCCAGACUCCUACGGGAGGCAGCAGUGGGGAAUAUUGCACAAUGGGCGCAAGCCUGAUGCAGCCAUGCCGCGUGUAUGAAGAAGGCCUUCGGGUUGUAAAGUACUUUCAGUCGUGAGGAAGGUGGUGUUGUUAAUAGCAGCAUCAU
rnacentral:rRNA from 1 species